rnacentral:rRNA from 1 species
GAUGAACGCUGGCGGCGUGCUUAACACAUGCAAGUCGAACGAGAAGUGAAGACGGAAACCUUCGGGCGGAAGGCUUUAUUUCGAGUGGCGGACGGGUGAGUAACGCGUGGGUAACCUGCCUCAUACAGGGGGAUAACAGUUGGAAACGACUGUUAAUACCGCAUAAGACCACAGCACCGCAUGGUGCGGGGGUAAAAACUCCGGUGGUAUGAGAUGGACCCGCGUUCGAUUAGCCAGUUGGCGGGGUAACGGCCCACCAAAGCGACGAUCGAUAGCCGAUCUGAGAGGAUGACCGGCCACAUUGGGACUGAGACACGGCCCAAAAUCCUACGGGAGGCAGCAGUGGGGAAUAUUGCACAAUGGGGGAAACCCUGAUGCAGCGACGCCGCGUGAGUGAAGAAGUAUUUCGGUAUGUAAAGCUCUAUCAGCAGGGAAGAAAAUGACGGUACCUGAGUAAGAAGCCCCGGCUAACUACGUG